AUUAGCAUUGCAGUUGAACAAAACGCAUUUCUUUAAAUCUUUGAACACAGGAAAAGAAACAUUAGCAAGAAACAAGUUUCUUUAUGACAGUUGGAUUUGUGGCAAUCGAACACGUGAUAACUUAUGGAAAAUCGCGUACUAUUUGUUUUGACCAACGUUCACUAUUUCCUUGGUUUUUAUUUUAUUUUUUAUUCUUUCUAAUAACAAUAGAAGCACUGAUGCAUAAUGGAUGCAUAUUUCAAAGUCGGUAGCAACAGAAACACAAAAAACCAAUGCACACAAUGGCUUGUAUGGAAAUCAAAUUGGCUAACAAACAACAAAGUUUUUGUUUAAAUCGCUUUUUUUUGGAAAACUUCCACCUUUUUUUCUUUGCACUAACGAGCACCCAAUAAAUCUAUAUGGGGGGCUUAUAUUAAAGAUUCAUAAACCGAAUACAAAAAUACAAAAGAAAAUAUAUCCAAAGAAAACCGACCACUUCACUUCGCCAGCAAAAGAAAUAACUAACGAUUUUCGAGAUCACCUGAGUUGGACACUUUCUUUCGAUUAACGAGAUUUGCGACAACGGAUAGUACACCAUGAGACAAGAGCCAGUAGAGAACUGAAUCGAGUCGAGAAGGAACCACCACACUUGGGCCAUAAUGCACAUGCGAAAAUCUCAAAGUAAAGAGAGGAAAUUCCAAAAAAAAAAAAAAAACGCACACACAAAAAUAGUCAUCAUUGGGGGCUUUGGGGGCCUUUCAUGGAUUCAUUGAAAACCGUCAUAGCAAUAACAACAAACAAAUAUCGAAAAAAGCAAGAAAAACAAAAUUUUGUGGGCAAACCAAAAACAAAACUCAGGCAGUCUGCCUGCCUGCCAGCCAUUGGGGAGAAAUGCAUGUCUCGGUCAAGUACAAGACAGGCGCAGUAAGCCAUAGCAAUGAUAAGGAUGGUGAUGUGAAAUAGAAAGCACGGUGUAUUUUCCGAAAUUGGAAAUUAGAGGAACCAAACCUUGAUAAAUAUAAAUGAAAUAUAACUUACCCGCUUCCAGAAGAGCGACAGCAGUACAACGUGAACAAAUAUGUUUGGUUUCGAAG